UGAAAGAGGAUACAUAAAAAGCUUUCUAGCUUAUUGGUUUUGCGUCUAACGUUCGUGUUUAAUGAUUUUCUAUUUUUGUUCCGGUUUUCCUCCUUUCUUCGGUCUCUUCUUUACCCUCUCCUUUUUCCUCGCAUCGUAAACGUCCUAGCUCUUGCCCUCACCAGUUGGUCAUAAUAAAUGCUGUCUGUCGUGUUUCCCGGACCUUUGUGCCUUGUCGGAGGCCGGUCGAUGUCCCGAAGCCAGAUGCACAGCUGCACCAACACUCCCCAUAAUAAUAGGCUGCAAGCGCUCCACCCUCAGGCCUUCAUCCUUCCUAAUAACCGGCGGUUGACGAGCUCCGGUUUCCCUAUGAAGCAGUCCCUCAAUCCUCUUUGUCCGUUCAUCCAACCGCCUCAGAAUGCCUUUCUCCUCCAGCCCACUCCCAUGGCCUUGGUCUUGCUCAGGAGAGACAGAGGUAGUGCUUUGGUCGCGGUUUGUAUAUCCUUCGGGCGCAGAUGUAGACGUAAUAGGGAGAGCCAAGGAACAACGGGUUCGGAGGGUCCGGCAUCGAUGACACCCUUCUGGGAUGAGCAUCUCACAUUUCGACUUUCGAUGCUGACAGGCCAGACAUGCUGUAAGUGGUUUUGUGCGUUUCCGUGGUCAAGGACUGGAACUUGGGGACGGAGCCAUUGGGUGGAGAAUCGGGUAGAAGAGCAGGCCCCAAUUACAUUCGGUCGACACCAUGCACUGGAACGGAAGCUGAGUGAUGGAGAGCGGACACAAAAGCGGAAGUAUUUGUAUACAUCAAAUUAAUAACAGAAACAC
rnacentral:sRNA from 1 species